UAAAGAAUUUCGGUCAUCGAUGGGGAUGCGUUCCAUUAGCUUGUUGGCGGGGUAGCGGCCCACCAAGGCAUCGAUGGAUAGGGGUUCUGAGAGGAAGGUCCCCCACAUUGGAACUGAGACACGGUCCAAACUCCUACGGGAGGCAGCAGUGAGGAAUAUUGGUCAAUGGGCGCUAGCCUGAACCAGCCAAGUAGCGUGAAGGAUGACUGCCCUAUGGGUUGUAAACUUCUUUUAUAUGGGAAUAAAGUGCAGUAUGUAUACUGCUUUGCAUGUACCUUAUGAAUAAGGAUCGGCUAACUCCGUGCCAGCAGCCGCGGUAAUACGGAGGAUCCGAGCGUUAUCCGGAUUUAUUGGGUUUAAAGGGAGCGUAGGCGGGUUGUUAAGUCAGUUGUGAAAGUUUGCGGCUCAACCGUAAAAUUGCAGUUGAUACUGGCAUCCUUGAGUACAGUAGAGGUAGGCGGAAUUCGUGGUGUAGCGGUGAAAUGCUUAGAUAUCACGAAGAACUCCGAUUGCGAAGGCAGCCUGCUGGACUGUAACUGACGCUGAUGCUCGAAAGUGUGGGUAUCAAACAGGAUUAGAUACCCUGGUAGUCCACACAGUAAACGAUGAAUACUCGCUGUUUGCGAUAUACAGUAA
rnacentral:rRNA from 1 species